rnacentral:sRNA from 1 species
UUUUGAUGUUUUUUUUUUUGGUUUUAUUCCACUUUU